UACGUAGGGCGCAAGCGUUGUCCGGAAUUAUUGGGCGUAAAGAGCUCGUAGGUGGCUUGUCACGUCGGGUGUGAAAGCUUGGGGCUUAACUCCAGGUCUGCAUUCGGUACGGGCUGGCUAGAGGUAGGUAGGGGAGAACGAAUUCCUGGUGUAGCGGUGAAAUGCGCAGAUAUCAGGAGGAACACCGGUGGCGAAGGCGGAUCUCUGGGCCGAUACUGACGCUGAGGAGCGAAAGCGUGGGGAGCGAACAGG
rnacentral:rRNA from 1 species